rnacentral:misc_RNA from 1 species
AGAGAGAGAGAGAAAAGAGAAGGAGAAGGAGAAGGAACCUGAAAGGGAAAAGGGGAAGGAAAGAACAAAAAAGGAUAAAACAGAUGGUGAAAAUGUUGAUCCAACUGAAAACUAUAGCCAUAAAGAGGGCGAAAAAAUGGGAAAAGACAAGGAUAGGAAACAUCGGAGACAGCAUCAAAGUGGUACUGUCUAUGUAAGUUUUGACAAAGAGGAGGAGGAAUCUAAAAAAUCACGCAGACAUGGCAGUGACCGUAAACAAUCAAGAAAGCAUUCAUACUUACCUGAGUUGGAUAAUGAAAGCCGGCAAAAAUGGCAUAAGAUAGAUCACCGCGAUGGUCCGUAGAAAUGACGGCUACAAGGAGUUAGAAGACGCGGAGGUUGGUGAGGAUGGGGAGAUUGUCCGUAUGUCCUCGUUUUGCAUGCAUAGUGCCAAGUAAAUCAGAUGAGGAUUGUGCAGUCAGAUUCAUUCAGUGUUGAUGAACAGGAAUUAGUGGCAAGUGAAAAGAAGCUGACUGGCUUUUACUGCUUUAAUUUGUGAAUGCAACCAUAAGAGCAACUUCUGUUUAGGGGGG